AAUCCAUAUUGAAGGCAACGUCGAAUCAAAUCUUUAUAUCUUUCUCAUGCUUCAUAGUGACUCGAAAUCAUUUUGCUUGAAUUAACCAAUCUCAUUCCUGAGUUG